rnacentral:lncRNA from 1 species
CACUGUGCUGCGAAAGUGCCUCGGGGCGCGUCUGGGGGGUCGUGGGGAAGCAGGGCCGCGCCCACCCGGCAGCGUCCAGGGAGAGCGGCGGCCGCCGGGGAGGGAAUCCUGCUCUGCUGCGGGCGGUCGUGGGCUGGGGCGCUUCCUGGCCUGACUGUCUCCUGGGGGAGGUAGGAAAGGCGAGCCCCGCAGAGAAGGCGGUGGCUUCCCUCGACGUGGGUGCCAACAGGAGCCAUCCCUCCAGCCGGUCUUCCCGCGGGAGGGUGCCUGGGAACACCCGCAGGGCUGGUUCCAGCACCCAUGGGACCGCUGGGUCCAGCCCAGUGUUUCCGGGGAAGCCCCGCCUUACCCGCCAACCUUCCCGCACCGGGAGGGUUCCCAGCUGCUGGUGAUGCUGCUCAGGCGACUCCCCGCAGCGCCACCACCCACCCCCCCGGGAGCCGGCCGCUGGGUUUGGCCCGUCCGCCCUGGUUCCUCUUUGCUGGGCUCUGAGGCCCGGCGGGACUUCUCCGCGGCGGCUCUGGCGACCCAGCAUCUCUUUGCCCUGGGGUCAGACGGGCUCCCAAGGAAUUGCAUCCCGGUGGAGAAGACGCUUCCUUCCCUCUCCCUUCCUCUCCUCCGCCCCCUUUUGCUCUCUUGUCCUUGCACUUUGCCUUGUCCGUGUGUCCGGCUCUGUGUGUGUGUGACUGACGCGAGCCCUUAGUCACCUCUUGCUACUAUUUUCUCCCCUUAUUAUCACUUGUCUCUUGACUGUGUGGUUUGCGGGUUGUGCUUGGUCACAGAGGGGAUUUUAGUUUUCGUGUCAUCAGAAUCUCCAGGCUUUCCUGAUGGCUUCUGGGGGUUCUUGUCGGUUUGUUUCCUUCUGGCUCACGCCGUGUCUUGCCCCCUGGACGCUGGGCACCAGUUCCGACUACUGGGUAACAGACGACUUCACGUUUCGGUCCUUCCCCACCUAGCACUCGUCUCACCCCCCCAGCACUCGUGUCACCCCCCCAAGGGUUCUGAGGGACAGGCUCUGGGAGGGCUCUCGGGGAGCCAGGACUGUGGCUCAGGGUCCCUCUCAGGCUGCGGUCAGGUGUCCACUGGGGCCCAGCCAUCCUAUCUGACUGGGUGGGGAGCCCUCGUGAUGACUCUCCCUCUGGAGGCUGUGGCAGGAGGCCUCAGUUCCUCCCCACCGGGCCUCCUCCCCAGGGCUGCUGGGCUUCCCCCGGACCUGCAAUCCAGUCGAACCAGCAGGAGAGGGCGCCCCAGACCCGGCCACAGUCUCUUCAUGGCCUGGUCUCCUAAGUGACUCGCCUCGCCUCCGCUGUGGUUUUUAUUGGUCUCACAGGUCCACCCUGGCGCGUGCUGGAGAGGGCGCCACGCUCAGGGUGGAGGCUGUUCCUGAGUGCUGCGAGUCAGAAGCACCCUUGCACGUGUAGACCUGCGUCGGCUGCUGGAGAUCCCGAGCGGGCCGCCUCAGGAACAUGUCCUUGGUGUCAGCGGGAGCAGCAGGCCACCUCCUGGGGCUGACACUGGCCGGGGCCUGCAUUUCUGAGGGCGGGGCGUGCUUUGACAUCCUGAAAGGGUUGCAAAACCCAUCACAGA